rnacentral:rRNA from 1 species
CCUACGGGAGGCAGCAGUGAGGAAUAUUGGUCAAUGGUCGGGAGACUGAACCAGCCAAGCCGCGUGAGGGAUGAAGGUACAGAGUAUCGUAAACCUCUUUUGUCAGGGAACAAAGGCGGGGACGUGUCCCCGGAUGAGUGUACCUGAAGAAAAAGCACCGGCUAACUCCGUGCCAGCAGCGGCGGUAAUACGGGGGAUGCGAGCGUGACCGGGUUUGAUUGGGUUAAAAGGGUGGGCAGCGGGUUUGUUAAGUCAGCGGUCAAAGCCCGGGGUUCAACCCCGGCCCGCCGUUGAAACUGGCAGUCUCGAGUGGGAGAGAAGUAUGCGGAAUGCGCGGUGUAGCGGUGAAAUGCAUAGAUAUCGCGCAGAACUCCGAUUGCGAAGGCAGCAUGCCGGCUCCACACUGACGCUGAGGCACGAAAGCGUGGGUAUCGAACAGGAUUAGAUACCCCUGUAGUC